AUGAUCAAUAUGGGUGGACUUAACAUGGGGAAUUAUGGGAGCAUCAAGGAAUCCUCCAAAAUGUCCCAUUAUAAAUCCUUUAUAAUGCAAGUCAAGGUCCCCUCUUUGUCUGCUAAGAACAUUUCAGCACCACUUUGAAUAGUGAAAGACUAGAGGAGCAACUUACCACAUUAAGAGACAAAAAUGUUUAUUAAAAAUAUAUAUUUGUUGUUUAUACUGCAGACCUUGUUAUUAAUUCAUGCCAUCAUUAAAUGGCAUUCAAAAUAUUAUCCAAAAGUAUGUGGCCAUAAUUUCAUCUUUUGGGCAAUAUUUGCAUUGUAAAGAAUUAAUUAAAUAAUUUCUCUCAAGUUAAAUCAUCAGUUUCAUAAAAGAGUUAAAGUAAUUCAUUGUAGUAAGCAAAUACUCUUUAGGUCAAAAAAUGUGUGUGUGUGUGUGUGGGUGUGUGUGUGUGUGUGUGUGUGUUCUUGUUUUUAUCACCUCAUGGGGACUUCAGUCUGUUUACACAGUCACGUCAUGGGGACCUACUCCCUCAUGGGGACCUAAAACCAGGUCCCCAUAAGGAUUAUGGUUCUAAAUGACUGUAUAAGCCAUUUUAAAGGUGCUGGUGAAGUUUUAGCAAUAUCCCAUAACACAUGUUUUUCCGUCACAUUUGUGUGUGUGUGACCCAAUACUGCCCCAUAAGGUUUCAGAGUGGUACUGCACCUCAUUGGAAUUCACACACUUUUCCAAAUUUGGUCGGGUACCACCUUCUUCCUGGUCCCCAUAAAGAAGGUUAUUGCAAGAACUUAAAAUUAUUUGGUUUAAAAGACAAUACCAACUUAAAAGAUAAAAUUCACAACUCUAAAUGAAAAUGGAAAUUUUCCUACAAAGAUUGUCUCCACUGAUUCAGUGUUUAGACUUUUGAUUCUGUGGAAAUACCCACCACCAAGAAUUGUUCAUAUGUAUAUAUAUUGUCUGUCUACUGAUCUUUAAUAAAGUUAUAAAAAGACAAAAAUGGGGUUAACUGUUCGAAUUUAUUAAUAACAGAGUAUGAAACAAAAUGCAUGAAAGACUCUGAAGGUGUAAACAUUUGCGCACAUAUUUAGUAAAUAUUCAACACUAUAGUUUUGGAACAGUUUUAAGAAAGCUCUAUAUAUUUGUUUAUGCAACUUUUUCAACUACAGUUAUUUUUUAGUGAAGAACAGGCAAGUGUUUAAGUCUCUGGAUCUGCAUUGAUGUUGAAGCCAUAAGGUAAAAUGCCAACAGUAAAAGAAUUUUACAGCUUAUUGACCCAAGUGGACUGUACACAAAUGGAGAACCUUUCAGUUUUAUUGAUAAUUAAAUUAUAAAAAUAUUCAAUAUAUUUCUUCAACUACAGAAUUAAAAUUCCUUUGUGUUUACUUUCAAAUAAAUUGCCCAUACAUUUAAGCUUGGGGUCAUGAAACAAAAAAAAAGUUAAAAGGUUCAAGGGGUUUAAAAUGCUCUAUUUCUGACAGUGACUUUGUAGCAGUCACCUGUCCUGGAUUAAUAUGUAGUAAAUGUCAUAAUCAAGCACACUGUGUGCUUAUGGCCAGUAUGUAUAUUUUCCUGCCAUUUAUGACAUCAAUGGGACACAGGUUUUAUGUAUUUACCCCCAGAGACAUUUACUGCCAUUGUGGGUUAUGUCCGUUUGGGCCUGUCCUUUGUGUUUAUCCAUAUUUCUGCUGGUGAAAUGCUUUUUCUGCACCUGUUGAUUACAUAGUGUAAUCAACCGGUGAACACAUAACGCUUUGACGUAUUUGACUCCUUUGUUGAAACUGCACAUGCGGCAAACUGCUUUGGUUACAUCCUGUGUUUUAUCUCUUUUAUCCCAUUUAAAGCCAGGGUAAUCCCAAUUAGACAACUUUCAGUGUAACCACUCAAUAACCAAAAUAAAAGUUUUAUUACCGAUGCUCUUCUCUAUAUACAACAGUAAUUUAAUCUUCCAUAUAUUUGCUCACGGGUUCGAACUUAUUAGUAUACUCACCAACCGGUAUGUGCACGCUUCUUCUUGCCAUACCUAAGCAGAAGUAAAUGUAUUUGUAAUAGAUCCCUGCUGUUCCAUCGCCAAUACAACUGACCAAUAAAGGCAACAACAAGGUUAUAGGAAGCCACAAAUUGUUAACUUAAGAAACCAUAUGGGCGUUUAAUCCAUUGUUACCUCCCCAUUGGUUUUCUUCUGGAUUUUCUGUAAAAACUCACAUGCAGCCGCUGCUGUUUUGAAAGCAUGAGUUCGGUCUUGAUAAGUCACCAGCAGCUUGGCUGGGUGAGCCACCCCGUGGCGCAAUCCCAGUUUGCGUAGCUCCGUGAGUAUCGGGUCAAACUGCUUCCGAAGCUGGAAAAGACCCGCCGCAGUAUCUGGGUAGAACCAGAUUUGAUGAUUCUGGUAGCAAAUUUCAGUAUUAGCUCUUGAUGCUAGAGCAAUAAGCUGCUUAUCCUUGUAGCUGAGAAAUCUCAUUAUUAAAGUGCGAGGCGCUGCGGUGCCGUCUCUCCGGGGUCCAAUUCGAUGCGCUCUUUCGACAGCCACCGCUCCAACACCAAGGGUCUCUGGCAACCACUUCUCUAGGAACUCACAUGGAUUCUGCCCUUCAGCUCCCUCCAGGAGUCCGAUAAGCCUUAGGUUGUUUUGUCUCUACCUAGCCUCCAGAUCCGUAACUUUAUCUUCCAAGUCUUUCUUCUUAGACUCUAGCAUAUCCACCUUAGUUCGUAGCAUUUCUAUCUCACUCUCUGCAUCAGAAAUACAUGUUUCGGAUUCUGUGAUUUGUUGGGUACAGUCAUUUAUCUCUUUUCUUACACUGUCGAUGGAGCCCAGAACUUUGCCAAAUCUAGAGGAGAAAUCCUUCUGGAUCGAAUUAACAACAGAAAGUAUUUCGUCCACCUUUCUGCUUUGAGACUUUGGGUUCUCUUCUCUGUCUGCGGCAGCCAUCGGAGCUGAGCAUGAGCUAGCAUUAGCUUUCUCCAUUUCACCUCGAAGAUGGUAUUCUGUUAGCUUAUGCUGUUUCGCCUUUUCACGUACUUCUAGGGAUGUUUUUGCUGCUUUAGGCAUUAUUCCGUACUCACACGCUCAUUUGUCAUUUAGUUUGUUUUCAAAGGAAGGAGUUUUAGGUAAAUUCUUUGACUGGAACAGCAGAGCGGUGAAGACACGUCCUCUCACAUGGCCGCCAUAACCGGAAGUCUGCAAUGGCAUUUUUACUGGAUUAUCAAAAAAAGCAAUAAGACAGCUCCAGCUUCUCCAAAAUGCUGCUGCAAGAGUCCUGACUAAAGCAAAAAGGGAUCAGCAUUUCAGUCCAGUUCUGAGAUCCUUGCACUGGCUGCCAGUUGCUCAACGAAUAGAAUUUAAAAUCUCCUUAAUGGUUUUUAAAGCUCUACAUAAUAAAAAUCCAGACUACAUUUUUGAUCUUCAACCCUAUGAACCACUCAGACCUUUAAGAUCAACCGAUUCAAACCUAUUAAUUAUUCCAAGAUUCAGAACUAAACAUAGUUUUUUAUGCUCUAGCUCUCUGGAAUAAGCUUCCUGCUCAUUGUAAGUCUAACCCUGCCUUGAGUUAAUUUAAAACUGUUGACAGUAUGAAUGUUUUUGUGCUCUCAUUUGUUGUUGUUUUUAUCAUUAUUGGAUUAUUGUGGGUCACAUCACGUGACCUGUCUAAUUUAAGACACUUGUGUACAAUAAAGGGUGUGUCCUUCAUGCAAAGAGGGUUCAACAUGAAAGCCA